AUCGUUGGCAGGCCAGCACUUAUUGUCCAUCGUAGUUGCCCUUGAGAAGUUGAUGGUGAACUGCCUCAUUGAACCGUUGCAAUCCACGUGUUAUGGGUUGACCCACAAUGCCAUUAAGGAGGGAAUUCCGGGAUAUUGACCCAGCAACACUGAAGGGACAGUGAUAUAUUUCCAAGUCAGAUCUUUAUGCCAUUUUGAUGGAGUUUGAAAUAAGGCAUGAUGUUACCUCUGGACUCAGGAUCCAGAAAAAAAGGUCACGAUCAUCGGACAUGCUGCAGGCCACUUCAGACUGAGGUGAAGAAAAAUUUCUUCAUUGAGAGGGUGGCGAUCCUGUGAAAUUCUCCACCACAGGAAGGUACUUAAACUCGUAAAAAAUAAUAAAAUCAGCCUGCACCAGGCCUAAACUCCACCUCUGGGAAGGAUGAAGUUGUCCAGUCCAAGGCUAUACACAGCAUCACCUCAUACCCUGAACCAGUGCAGAUGUAUUCACAUCCAUGGUUUCAUGAUUAGACUUUAAGUCACAAUCUGGUGAGUGUAAAACAGACACAUCUUUGCAGUUGAUGAAGGUGUGAAAACCAAAGUCUCUGACUGCCGAACGUUGUAUAGCAAGCCAUUCACAUUUCUGUGCAGGUGAUAUUGCCCCUGGAAAUAGCCAUCAGAAAUCUUAUGGAGGUUCGGGGGCAGGGACAGGAACCAUCUGGCAGAAAUGUGAGAGGCCAUCUGCAGCCUUGACAGAAAAGUAGAAGAGUCCACACAAGUCCUGAGGUCUGUCAAUGGCUCCAACAUUUGAGGGUAUAGUUUACUCCAUGAAGAAAUUAAUGAUUGUGAUGGAGAGCCAGGUUUAACAGAACACUCUGUGACUGUCGCUUAUGUGCUCAGACUUGUCUUCCAUCACUUUAAUCAUGGACUACAAAGGCAAAAGGGGAAUGAAGCACCACAACUUCCCUUAAGUGCUCCUCCUCCUCCUGAAAUCACGGAGGUGCCAUUAGGCGCUAAUAAUGAGGGCAACACCAGCUAGCUACCAGAGGGUCAUCUCAGGGCACAGCAAGAGAGUGCUGCUGUUCCUCUUCCCCUCUGCCAAUGAUGCCAUCCCCCACUGCAGGUAAGGCCAAAAACAUUGCCCCUGCAGUUGUGCAAAUAGGCUUGACAUCUUCAGCCUCUCUGACUUUGCCUGUCCAUCUGUGGUGCAUUCGAUUUGACGUUAAUGCUUGGCAUCUCACCGGCUCCAAAUUGUUAUCCUCCUGAGCUGCAUGAUCCUCUUUUUUGGUGUUCUGGUAUUGUUGUGCCUGGCAUCAGAUCACCCUCUACUGAUUUCUUCAGGAUAUGCCAGAGAUAGCAGACUCUGGGUGCCCUUAACCGUCUGAAGUGAGCUGCAGAGACGGUAAAAAUCUGGUCAGCACAAUCUUCGUGAUGUCACUUCUGACCUGGGAACUUUUGACAAAUGGGGAACACUAUUCUUUGCAUCAUCAACACCCUGGUCUCUACCAACUCCAUUAUGGACAUCUCCAUUUCUGAUCUGGAGAGAUGACUCUUAGUGUUGUCACAGCAAUGUUGCUAGGCACUUCCAGAUUGACCCUUGAUAUUGAAACCAUCCUUCUUGAUCUUUCCUGCAUUAUCCCUGACCCCCACUUCACCUUCCAUAUCCUGCCUUCGUUGCCCUUGAGUUACCCAUGAUCACACAUGCUCAGCCUUUGUUUACCCUAGAGCUUCCCCAAUAUUGUCCAUCUGAUACACCUGAAACCCUGGAUCUCCCUACUGGCAUACUUGACCACCCAUUUGUAGGUAUUGACUUUCCUGUAUAUUCCAGUUUCUGUCUUCUGUCCUGGACAAGCCCUAAGCCCUAAUAUGUCCACCACAACUCAUUGCUCCCUCCCUCGGUCAGCCAUGCCUGGUCACACUUGUGCAGCCAUCACCCUGCAUCCUUGCUCCCUCAGUCAGCCGUGCCCUGCUCCCCUUGCACAUUGUUUAACCAAUUCCAAUGCAUUAAUGGCUUCUCUCGCAAUUUUCAACAAAGCAACACGUGAAAGAAAAGAAGAUCCUACUUAAUCCAAAACCAUCAGGAAGAUGACCUCAGCAUCUGAGGAUAGAGAGAUGGAGUUAAUAUUUAGAGACCAAUGGUUCUGCUUGGAAUGAAGAACAGGCAGUUUGGACUCAAAACGUUAAUUCUGUUUCUUUCUGCUAGACCUGUGGAGUUUUUCCAGCACUUUCUGUUCUUAUUUUGUAUCUCCAGCUUCCACAAUAUUUUAUUAUAUCAUGACUACCUUGCCUGCUGCAUACCAUCUCUAAGCAGUUAUGAAUCUGAAGGCCUGUAGUUCUAACUUGCUGCAGAGAGAAUUGAAAAGGUACCAAAUAAUCUGACAAAACGUUGUUUUAAUGAAUACACAGGACAUCCUGAUGCAUGAAAAAGAGGUUCCCAUGGCUUGUUCUCUCGCAACCUUCAUUCUCUAUUUUCAUCCUGCUGUUGGGAGCCUGCUAUUUUGCAUCUUACACCCAUCUACUUCUCUUCACAUUGCCAGUAGCAGCACAAAAUUCCAGCUGAAGACUUCAAUUUUAUUCGGAAUGGAAAGUUGAUAUUUAUUAUGAUCAUGAAUUUGAAUGAUCACGUUUUCAAGAUGGUCAGGUUUUAUGGGAAAUUAGUUCAUACGAACACCUUCCUCCUUCAGGCCAAAGGAGACUGCAUGGCGACAACAGCUUUGCUGAAAAUGGUGUUUGAGAUAGGGAAGGAAGAACUGAGUUUUAAAAACAACUACAGAAGUCAAGGUCAAAUGCACAGCUCUACAGCUUGGCAUAGCAGCAUUUCUCACUUUUGCUGUGCCUAGCUGGCAUUUUAAAACAAUUGAGCAAUAGCAUUUACUGGUUUCUGAAACAUGAUUGUUUUAGAUUUACAAUGACAGUGCUUUCAAAAAUUUGACUUAUAUAACCUCUAAAGGUCAUACAAUAAAGUCUUCCUCAUACCUGACAGAAUAAACACAUUUCACAUAAAUCGCCCCAAUCUUAAAACCCUGGAAUUCAAGCAAACAAUCCUUGCCUUUGACAAACAUCAAGUCCUUGCUGUUAUUGCCUGAGGUGAAGGUGUCUUCACUGAUGUUCAUAUGUUAUUUGACCUACUGUUUCACAGAAAAUUAAUAUUAGUAAUUUUG